UGCAUGAAGUCGGAAUUGCUAGUAAUCGCGGAUCAGCAUGCCGCGGUGAAUACGUUCCCGGGCCUUGUACACACCGCCCGUCACACCAUGGGAGCCGGUAAUACCCGAAGUCAGUAGUCCAACCACGUGAGGACGCUGCCGAAGGUAGGAUUGGCGACUGGGGUGAAGUCGUAACAAGGUAAC
rnacentral:rRNA from 1 species